GACGAACGCUGGCGGCGUGCUUAACACAUGCAAGUCGAGCGGAGCGGCGAACGGGUGAGUAACUCGUGAGUAACUGCCCACCUCUCUGGGAUAACAGUUGGAAACGGCUGCUAAUAACGGAUAGUGGGGGAUGACUCGCGUCCUAUCAGCUUGUUGGUGGGGUAGUGGCCUACCAAGGCGACGACGGUUAGCCGGCCUGAGAGGUGGCCCGGCCACAUUGGGCUGAGAUACGGCCCAAACGCGUACGGGAGGCAGUAGUGGCGAAUAGUGCACAAUGGGGGAAACUCUGAUGCAGCAACGCCGCGGGCGUGAUGACGGCUUUCGGGUUGUAAACCGCUUUCAGCUAUGACGCGGUAGUGGCAGAAGAAGCACCGGCUAACUACGUGCCAGCAGCCGCGGUAAUUC
rnacentral:rRNA from 1 species